rnacentral:rRNA from 1 species
UUAAGCGACAAGCGUACACGGUGGAUGCCCUGGCAGUCAGAGGCGAUGAAGGACGUGCUAAUCUGCGAAAAGCGCCGGUAAGGUGAUAUGAACCGUUAUAACCGGCGAUGUCCGAAUGGGGAAACCCAGUGUGACUCGUCACACUAUCAUUAACUGAAUCCAUAGGUUAAUGAGGCGAACCGGGGAACUGAAACAUCUAAGUACCCCGAGGAAAAGAAAUCAACCGAGAUUCCCCAGUAGCGGCGAGCGAACGGGGAGGAGCCCAGAGCCUGAAUCAGCAUGUGUGUUAGUGGAAGCGUCUGGAAAGGCGCGCGAUACAGGGUGACAGCCCGUACACAAAAGCGCAUGUGCUGUGAGCUCGAUGAGUAGGGCGGGACACGUGAUAUCCUGUCUGAAUAUGGGGGGACCAUCCUCCAAGGCUAAAUACUCCUGACUGACCGAUAGUGAACCAGUACCGUGAGGGAAAGGCGAAAAGAACCCCGGCGAGGGAGUGAAACAGAACCUGAAACCGUGUACGUACAAGCAGUGGGAGCAUGAGUUUACUCAUGUGACUGCGUACCUUUUGUAUAAUGGGUCAGCGACUUAUAUUCUGUAGCAAGGUUAACCGAAUAGGGGAGCCGGAGGGAAACCGAGUCUUAAUUGGGCGUUAAGUUGCAGGGUAUAGACCCGAAACCCGGUGAUCUAGCCAUGGGCAGGUUGAAGGUUGGGUAACACUAACUGGAGGACCGAACCGACUAAUGUUGAAAAAUUAGCGGAUGACCUGUGGCUGGGGUGAAAGGCCAAUCAAACCGGGAGAUAGCUGGUUCUCCCGAAAGCUAUUUAGGUAGCGCCUCGUGAAUUCAUCUCCGGGGGUAGAGCACUGUUUCGGCCAGGGGGCCAUCCCGGCUUACCAACCCGAUGCAAACUGCGAAUACCGGAGAAUGUUAUCACGGGAGACACACGGCGGGUGCUAACGUCCGUCGUGAAGAGGGAAACAACCCAGACCGCCAGCUAAGGUCCCAAAGUCAUGGUUAAGUGGGAAACGAUGUGGGAAGGCCCAGACAGCCAGGAUGUUGGCUUAGAAGCAGCCAUCAUUUAAAGAAAGCGUAAUAGCUCACUGGUCGAGUCGGCCUGCGCGGAAGAUGUAACGGGGCUAAACCAUGCACCGAAGCUGCGGCAGCGACACUGUGUGUUGUUGGGUAGGGGAGCGUUCUGUAAGCCUGCGAAGGUGGCCUGUGAGGGUUGCUGGAGGUAUCAGAAGUGCGAAUGCUGACAUAAGUAACGAUAAUGCGGGUGAAAAACCGCACGCCGGAAGACCAAGGGUUCCUGUCCAACGUUAAUCGGGGCAGGGUGAGUCGACUCCUAAGGCGAGGCCGAAAGGCGUAGUCGAUGGGAAACGGGUUAAUAUUCCCGUACCUGGUGUUACUGCGAAGGGGGGACGGAGAAGGCUAUGUUGGCCGGGCGACGGUUGUCCCGGUUUAAGCGUGUAGGCUGGUUUUCCAGGCAAAUCCGGAAAAUCAAGGCUGAGGCGUGACGACGAGGCACUACGGUGCUGAAGCAACAAAUGCCCUGCUUCCAGGAAAAGCCUCUAAGCCUCAGGUAACAUCAGAUCGUACCGAAACCGACACAGGUGGUCAGGUAGAGAAUACCAAGGCGCUUGAGAGAACCCGGGUGAAGGAACUAGGCAAAAUGGUGCCGUAACUUCGGGAGAAGGCACGCUGACACGUAGGUGAAGCGGUUUACCCGUGGAGCUGAAGUCAGUCGAAGAUACCAGCUGGCUGCAACUGUUUAUUAAAAACACAGCACUGUGCAAACACGAAAGUGGACGUAUACGGUGUGACGCCUGCCCGGUGCCGGAAGGUUAAUUGAUGGGGUCAGCGCAAGCGAAGCUCCUGAUCGAAGCCCCGGUAAACGGCGGCCGUAACUAUAACGGUCCUAAGGUAGCGAAAUUCCUUGUCGGGUAAGUUCCGACCUGCACGAAUGGCGUAAUGAUGGCCAGGCUGUCUCCACCCGGGACUCAGUGAAAUUGAACUCGCUGUGAAGAUGCAGUGUACCCGCGGCAAGACGGAAAGACCCCGUGAACCUUUACUAUAGCUUGACACUGAACACUGGUCCUUGAUGUGCAGGAUAGGUGGGAGGCUUUGAAGUGUGGACGCCAGUCUGCAUGGAGCCGUCCUUGAAAUACCACCCUUUAAUGGCUGGUGUUCUAACGUAGACCCGUGAACCGGGUUGCGGACAGUGUCUGGUGGGGUAGUUUGACUGGGGCGGUCUCCUCCUAAAGCGUAACGGAGGAGCACGAAGGUUGGCUAAUCCUGGUCGGACAUCAGGAGGUUAGUGCAAUGGCAUAAGCCAGCUUGACUGCGAGCGUGACGGCGCGAGCAGGUGCGAAAGCAGGUCAUAGUGAUCCGGUGGUUCUGAAUGGAAGGGCCAUCGCUCAACGGAUAAAAGGUACUCCGGGGAUAACAGGCUGAUACCGCCCAAGAGUUCAUAUCGACGGCGGUGUUUGGCACCUCGAUGUCGGCUCAUCACAUCCUGGGGCUGAAGUAGGUCCCAAGGGUAUGGCUGUUCGCCAUUUAAAGUGGUACGCGAGCUGGGUUUAGAACGUCGUGAGACAGUUCGGUCCCUAUCUGCCGUGGGCGCUGGAGAACUGAGGGGGGCUGCUCCUAGUACGAGAGGACCGGAGUGGACGCAUCACUGGUGUUCGGGUUGUCAUGCCAAUGGCACUGCCCGGUAGCUAAAUGCGGAAGAGAUAAGUGCUGAAAGCAUCUAAGCACGAAACUUGCCCCGAGAUGAGUUCUCCCUGAGACUACAAGUCUCCUGAAGGAACGUUGAAGACGACGACGUUGAUAGGCCGGGUGUGUAAGCGCAGCGAUGCGUUGAGCUAACCGGUACUAAUGAACCGUGAGGCUUAACCUU